AGAGUUUGAUCCUGGCUCAGGAUGAACGCUGGCGGCGUGCUUAAUACAUGCAAGUCGAACGAAGCUCUUUUUCUUCGGAUGAAGAGUCUUAGUGGCGAACGGGUGCGUAACGCGUUGGUAACCUGCCCCAAAGAGGGGGAUAACAGUUCGAAAGGACUGCUAAUACCCCAUGUGAUCAUCAGGAUUAGAUGCUUGAUGAUGAAAGGAGUAAUCCGCUUUGGGAGGGGCCUGCGUCCCAUCAGCUUGUUGGUAGGGUAAUGGCCUACCAAGGCUCUGACGGGUAGGGGACCUGAGAGGGUGGCCCCCCACACUGGCACUGAAAUACGGGCCAGACACCUACGGGUGGCAGCAGUAGGGAAUAUUGGACAAUGGGCGAAAGCCUGAUCCAGCAACGCCGCGUGCACGAUGACGGCCUUCGGGUUGUAAAGUGCUUUUAGGAGAGAUGAGAAAGGACAGUAUCUCCUGAAUAAGCCUCGGCGAACUACGUGCCAGCAGCCGCGGUAAAACGUAGGAGGCGAGCGUUAUCCGGAUUUAUUGGGCGUAAAGCGCGUGCAGGCGGUUUGGAAAGUUGGAUGUGAAAGCUCCUGGCUUAACUGGGAGAGGUCGUUCAAAACUACCAGACUAGAGAAUGGGAGAGGGAAGUGGAAUUCCGGGUGUAGUGGUGAAAUGCGUAGAUAUCCGGAGGAACACCAGUGGCGAAAGCGGCCUCCUGGCCCAUUUCUGACGCUCAGACGCGAAAGCUAGGGUAGCAAACGGGAUUAGAGACCCCGGUAGUCCUAGCUGUAAACGAUGUAGACUUGGCGUUGGCGGAGUUAAAUCUGCCAGUGCCGGAGCUAACGCGUUAAGUCUACCGCCUGGGGACUACGACCGCAAGGUUAAAACUCAAAGGAAUUGACG
rnacentral:rRNA from 1 species